ensembl:lncRNA
AUGAGAAGAGCCCGCAGCCUGCAGCAACGCAUGCAGCUACUGCAGCAACAGCAGGACUCAGAGGCAGUCAGACAGCAACCACAGCAGCAGCAGAAGGAGGAGCAUGAGGAGGGGCAGCAGCAGCUGCAAGAACAGCCCAGUGAAAAGCCUCUCUCGCUCCAAAUACUUUUGACAGACAGACAAUCCGACCAGUCAGCUGACAGUCAGGACCAACAGGCCCCGCCUCUCUCUCCAUGCCUUGUUAAGCCCCUCCAUCCCCAAACCAACUCCGUGUCUGACUGCGGCUCCGGCGCCGGGGCCCAUACAGGUUCACCCAGAGACUACAGCAUGACUGGAGGCCCCUGCUUUGUCUUUGGGAAACCCCUCACCAACACUAGGUCCCUCCCUGCCCUGUGCGUGGACAACUUGGAGGAAAACCACUUGGGAGACUUGGCUCCACCCCCUCAAUCUAAGGAGGCGGAGCUUCCUCCCCAAAGAACCAUAACGGCCCCUAUUUGCAUCCCAGUAAAGGCCCCGCCCCCGCCCAGGCAACCCUCUCAAACCUCUUCACCUGUUGGCACCGAUGACAGGGGUCAUCUGACGAUGUCGGAGGCGCCUCAUUCCACCAGAAACCCACAUUGCAAGCCCCCCCCAGCUUGCCCCAGGGUAGCCCCACUCCCAUCAUCCUACCCAGUCAGGAAUUGGUCCUGCUUAUACUUGGACCCUCACGAUGUUGUCGAUUCUCCCGUUGACCCCCCAAUCAGCUCGCCUCUUUACUCAACUCUCAACUCCAAUUCCAAUGUUCUCCCUCUGUCAGCCGUGAGCUGGCCCGCUCCGCCCUCCUCCCCGCCCCCCAGGCAGGACCACAUAGCGGCCCUGCCUGUGGAGCGCUGGGCGGAAAACGUCAAUAGAUACUACGGCUCCCAGAAUGCAACGGGAGGAGGGGGAGAGGAUGUGCCCUGUGAGGAGCUCUCGGAGCUGGACUCUCUGUACCAGGCCAGUCUGCUGGCUCCCAGCAUGCACCGGGGCAGCCGUGGAGUCAGUCCUCAACCGGCCAACAAUAAACCAGGUGUGAGGAGAAUGCUGUCGGGGUCUGGACGCUCCAAGACCCCAACGGCUGAGAUUGAGAGAUGCGCCUACAGAACACCUGUUACAACUCAUAAGUUGGCUCAAGGUGAAGACGAGAGCUACAGUGCAGCAAACCUGCGACGCAUUGCACGCAGCCUGAGUGGAAGUGCCAUGGGGUCACGACCCCAAAGUCCCAGCUCCUCCCACAGCUGUGAGCCCCCUAUGUCCAGGCCCCCCCUCAAACACUCUACCUCUUCCUCCUCCCUCCUCCGUCGCCCAAGCGCCUCCUCCCUGCCCGUCCCCUCCUCUUCCUCAACCUCCUUCCCUGCAGACCACUCCUCCCACCUUCUCCAACACCACCAACCCCGAAACCACGGCCCCCCAGCUCCUGCACAUCCUCCACAGCACCCUCCCUUGCAGACAUCACGGCCCCCCAACCUGGGCCCCUCAUCCUGGGGACACUCAGAAGCUGGACCGAGUCUCCAGCAGCCGUUUCUGGUUGUGUCUGACAGGCGUCCGUCUCUCUCUGGUCAAAGCCUCCACAAUGUCGCGUUGAGUUACGGCACUCUGCCCCGUGCUCCUCGCCGAGCGCCUCCUCCUCCCUCCUCCUCCUCCACCGCCACUCUCCCCAGGCCCAGAGCCGUCUCCGGUCCCGCCCCCCCGCUGCCAAGUCCACAUAGUCUCUACGCCACCCUUUCCCGCCCUCGGCGCUCUGCCAACGCUAACGGUCACUACCGGCAACCGUCGCUGCCCAUUAAUCUCAACGGCUCCGCCCAUUACGCCCCGGCCCACCCCAGGGGGGCGGGGGAGGCCCCCGCCCAGCCGCUCCGCCUCGACGUGCCCCCUGAGACCGACUGGCGUCGAGAAGCCGACUACAGAACUCUCAGCUCCUCUUGGGACCCCCGCGCCCUCAGCCGCCCCCACCAGCCCAUCCAGCACCACCAGCCCCUCCAGCGGACCAACUCCCACCAGCCCCCCCCGGCCCCGCAGGGACCCCCAGCUCUGCUCGCUGUGCCAGCAGCUCCCUGCUGA